CCUACGGGGGGCUGCAGUGGGGAAUAUUGCACAAUGGGCGCAAGCCUGAUGCAGCCAUGCCGCGUGUGUGAAGAAGGCCUUCGGGUUGUAAAGCACUUUCAGCGGGGAGGAAGGCGGUGAGGUUAAUAACCUCAUCGAUUGACGUUACCCGCAGAAGAAGCACCGGCUAACUCCGUGCCAGCAGCCGCGGUAAUACGGAGGGUGCAAGCGUUAAUCGGAAUUACUGGGCGUAAAGCGCACGCAGGCGGUCUGUCAAGUCGGAUGUGAAAUCCCCGGGCUCAACCUGGGAACUGCAUUCGAAACUGGCAGGCUAGAGUCUUGUAGAGGGGGGUAGAACUCCAGGUGUAGCGGUGAAAUGCGUAGAGAUCUGGAGGAAUACCGGUGGCGAAGGCGGCCCCCUGGACAAAGACUGACGCUCAGGUGCGAAAGCGUGGGGAGCAAACAGGAUUAAUACCCUUGUAGUC
rnacentral:rRNA from 1 species